AACGAACGCUGGCGGCAGGCUUAACACAUGCAAGUCGAGCGCCCCGCAAGGGGAGCGGCAGACGGGUGAGUAACGCGUGGGAACGUGCCCUUUGGUUCGGAACAACUCCGGGAAACUGGAGCUAAUACCGGAUAAGCCCUUCGGGGGAAAGAUUUAUCGCCAAAGGAUCGGCCCGCGUCUGAUUAGCUAGUUGGUGGGGUAAUGGCCCACCAAGGCGACGAUCAGUAGCUGGUCUGAGAGGAUGAUCAGCCACACUGGGACUGAGACACGGCCCAGACUCCUACGGGAGGCAGCAGUGGGGAAUAUUGGACAAUGGGCGCAAGCCUGAUCCAGCCAUGCCGCGUGAGUGAUGAAGGCCUUAGGGUUGUAAAGCUCUUUUGUCCGGGAAGAUAAUGACUGUACCGGAAGAAUAAGCCCCGGCUAACUUCGUGCCAGCAGCCGCCGUAAGAC
rnacentral:rRNA from 1 species